AGACCUACCAGUCUUCAGGGGAAUGUCCCUUUUGGCAAAUCCUGAAACUCAGGGGAUCUGAAGAACCAGAUUCAGAGCGUCCUGACAGACUCUACAAUCUUGGACAAAUUCAAAAUUCUCCAUCCCAAGACUUCUUAGAAGAAAAACAACUUCUGUAGCAAUUAUACAGAGAUUAUGCACCUAGCAGAAAAAGGAAGCCAUAAGAAAUCGAGACCUUUUGAACUUAAAGUAGGCAUGUCACUCUUCAACUUUUGGUCUUCUCUAG